rnacentral:lncRNA from 1 species
CCGACUCUGUUAUUUAUGUUGAUUAAAUAUUAUUAUAUUUAUUACGAGACACUAACCCAACCCAGCUAAUUAGAGGCUGAUCACAUGAGCCUGAGUUAUAAAAUUCACCUGUAAGUGCAUGAGAUGAUGAAAGCCUGGUCACAAUAUUUCAUUGAAAAAUCAUUGUCUAUUCAUGUGAGAAAUGAGCCCUACCCAGCUAAGGGGCUGAUCACAUGAACCAGACUUACCCGAUGAGAACGUAAAAAGGUCAUUGUUUAUUCAUACAUGAGAGAAAAAGUCAUUGUCUAUUCACAUAAGAAACGAUCCAGUCCAACUAGAUUAAAUCUAACCUCGCGUUGGGAGUGCUAAAACUUUUUUAUUUGAGAUUUAAGACAUCAAUUUAAUUUCUACUUUUAAAAAAGUUUUUUUAUAGCCUUAUAAAAGGCAUUUUACUGUAAUUGUUGCGUUGCCUAUCAGCAAUAAAGGACUCAAAUUUGACUUAAAAAGAGCUUUUACUUAUGAAAUAUAUUGAACUUCUACCGUCUGACGAGGUUGCUAUGCGUCGCUAGAAAAAAAAGGGAACAAUCAGGAUUGAAAGCCGUAUUAUAAUUACUGAAACAAUUGAUACAAGGUAUGUAAUGUGGGCGCGUAUGAGGUAAUAGCAUAAUUAAUAAUAGUU